rnacentral:tRNA from 1 species
GCGGAUGUGGCGGAACUGGCAGACGCGCAGGCUUCAGGUGCCUGUGGGGGCAACCCCGUGGAGGUUCGAGUCCUCUCAUCCGCA